UCAUCUCUGCAUACAUCCGGU
rnacentral:siRNA from 1 species